rnacentral:rRNA from 1 species
GAUUCUGGCUCAGGAUGAACGCUAGCUACAGGCUUAACACAUGCAAGUCGAGGGGCAGCGGGAAGUUAGCUUGCUAACUUGCCGGCGACCGGCGCACGGGUGAGUAACGCGUAUCCAACCUUCCCCUUAGUAGGGCAUAGCCCGAUGAAAAUCGGAUUAAUACCCUAUGUUCUUCAUAGAUGACAUCUGACAUGAAGCAAAGAUUUAUCGCUAAGGGAUGGGGAUGCGUCCGAUUAGGUAGUCGGCGGGGUAACGGCCCACCGAGCCAUCGAUCGGUAGGGGUUCUGAGAGGAAGGUCCCCCACAUUGGAACUGAGACACGGUCCAAACUCCUACGGGAGGCAGCAGUGAGGAAUAUUGGUCAAUGGGCGAGAGCCUGAACCAGCCAAGUAGCGUGCCAGGAUGACCGGCCCUAGUGGGUUAGUAAACUGUCUUUUAUGCGGGGAUAAAGUUCGCCACGUGUGGCGUUUUGUAGGUACCGCAUGAAUAAGGACCGGCUAAUUCCGUGCCAGCAGCUGC